rnacentral:sRNA from 1 species
GCUCGGACCCCUCUCCUCCAUAACGCCUCCUCGGACGGUCCUCCUCCUCUUCCUCUCUCCUUCUUCCUUCUCCUCCUCUCUCCUUCGCAUCCCAAAACUACUUCUCCAUCUUUCUCUCGUCUUCCUCUUCUUCUUCCCACCCUCGUUCCUUACAGCGCUACCUUCGCUCAAUAAUAUUUCGCGGAAAAUACGACACAGCGUAUUCGCAUCGAAAGGCGCUUUUGGAGCACAGCCGCAUAUCCAGACUCCUCGCAAUUAUCGCCUAAAGUCAACGAAGCGUAACGGUCUCUUUGAAAUUUUAGUCGAAGAUCUCAGAGACAAAAGAGGAUCUGAGGGUAGACAUCUUUAGUCAAAGUGAUGCUCAAGCGGAAAUUGGCUCGGCGCAACAUUGCACGACCUGUUACCUUACUGGAAGAAGGGCUGCCGAGACAGGCUAGACAUGCAUCGAUCGAAGUAAAUCAGUAUGGUACUGCACACCUGACAUUCUUGUUCACAGAUCACCCCUCCAAGAAUGCCCCCACACCCAUGGGAAGCGCCUUCUGCUCACGGCAAACGAUCAGCUCUCUGGACUUUCAUUGGCCCCGUCAUCAAUUCAGCUCUUUCACAUGGCACCGUCUCUGUGCGCUGGAUGAUGUUAGCAGUCUUCGGAUCGGUGAAACCUACCUUGAAUGGCUUCCUCGGAUGCAUACUGUACCGGAAUGUGAGCAGGUAAUCCGAGAAGAACCAUCCUGGUGCCGGGCUCUCUCUCUCGAGCCUCGUCGCGAAUACCUGCGAGGACUGGCGCAAGUGAAUUGGUGUUCUUGUAGACGAUUAGUACCGGACUCACGAUCUAAGAUUCUGGCGCGACAUUCGUUCUUAGCCGAAAUGGUUACGAGCUAUGAUUGAAUUCCAUACUACAGACAAAAGGCGCUCGCUCCAUCUCAUAAAUUCAACCA